rfam:Triticum aestivum genome assembly, contig: Triticum_aestivum_CS42_TGACv1_scaffold_222553_3B
UAAGUACUCCCUCCGUCCGAAAAAACUUGUCCUUGAUAUGGAUGUAUCUAGCACCAAGUUAGUGCUAGAUACAACCAUUUGAGGAACAAGUUUGGAACAAGCUUUUUCGGGCGGAGGGAGUAAUAA